rfam:Salmo salar isolate Sally breed double haploid chromosome ssa11, whole genome shotgun sequence.
UGCAUUCACUACUGUAAGUCGCUCUGGAUAAGAGCGUCUGCUAAAUGUAUAUAU